rnacentral:sRNA from 1 species
UACUUGAAAAGAUUCUGGUAGGUGAAUU